rnacentral:lncRNA from 1 species
AUGAUCUAGCACAGGCCUUCCCCGAGAGCAGAGUGGCGGAAGUGUUAUUUCUCAGCGCCUCAAUUUCCCCAUCUAGAAAAUGGCGCUACAGGAACCUGAUAGCAUGGUGAUACUUUUGAAGAUCAUUGCCAAAACCAGCCCCAAAGAGAAAGAAUGAACUGACAGCAGUUCCUCCAACUAUUUUGCAG